rnacentral:rRNA from 2 species
UGUGCGGGUGCUAAUACAUGCAAGUCGAGCGAACUGAUUAGAAGCUUGCUUCUAUGACGUUAGCGGCGGACGGGUGAGUAACACGUGGGCAACCUGCCUGUAAGACUGGGAUAACUUCGGGAAACCGAAGCUAAUACCGGAUAGGAUCUUCUCCUUCAUGGGAGAUGAUUGAAAGAUGGUUUCGGCUAUCACUUACAGAUGGGCCCGCGGUGCAUUAGCUAGUUGGUGAGGUAACGGCUCACCAAGGCAACGAUGCAUAGCCGACCUGAGAGGGUGAUCGGCCACACUGGGACUGAGACACGGCCCAGACUCCUACGGGAGGCAGCAGUAGGGAAUCUUCCGCAAUGGACGAAAGUCUGACGGAGCAACGCCGCGUGAGUGAUGAAGGCUUUCGGGUCGUAAAACUCUGUUGUUAGGGAAGAACAAGUACGAGAGUAACUGCUCGUACCUUGACGGUACCUAACCAGAAAGCCACGGCUAACUACGUGCCAGCAGCCGCGGUAAUACGUAGGUGGCAAGCGUUAUCCGGAAUUAUUGGGCGUAAAGCGCGCGCAGGCGGUUUCUUAAGUCUGAUGUGAAAGCCCACGGCUCAACCGUGGAGGGUCAUUGGAAACUGGGGAACUUGAGUGCAGAAGAGAAAAGCGGAAUUCCACGUGUAGCGGUGAAAUGCGUAGAGAUGUGGAGGAACACCAGUGGCGAAGGCGGCUUUUUGGUCUGUAACUGACGCUGAGGCGCGAAAGCGUGGGGAGCAAACAGGAUUAGAUACUGGG